CUCAUCCAGAGAGGUGGAGGGACUGGGCCCGAUGAAACCCGGCAACCGGCGCAAGGCGUGCGGUGCCAAUUCCCACAGCGCGCGAGCGCUGGCAGAUGAG
rnacentral:ncRNA from 1 species